AUAGUGAACUAGUACCGUGAGAGAGAGGUGAAAAGCACCCGGGAAGGGGAGUGAAAUAGAACCUGAAACCGUGUGCUUACAAGUAGUCCGAGCUCGUUAAUGGGUGAUGGCGUGCCUUUUGUAGAAUGAUCCGGCGAGUUACGAUUUGAUGCAAGGUUAAGCAGUAAAUUUGGAGCCGUAGCGAAAGCGAGUCUGAAUAGGGCGUUUAGUAUUUGGUCGUAGGCCCGAAACCAGGUGAGCUACCCUUGGUCAGGUUGAAGUUCAGGUAACGCUGAAUGGAGGACCGAACCGGCUUACGUUGAAAAGUGAGCGGAUGAUCUGAGAGUAGCGGAGAAAUUCCAAUCGAACCUGGAGAUAGCUGGUUCUCUCCGAGAUAGCUUUAGGGCUAGCCUCAAGUGAGGAUUAUUGGAGGUAGAGC
rnacentral:rRNA from 1 species